rnacentral:rRNA from 1 species
CCUACGGGUGGCAGCAGUGAGGAAUAUUGGUCAAUGGACGAGAGUCUGAACCAGCCAAGUAGCGUGAAGGAUGACUGCCCUAUGGGUUGUAAACUUCUUUUAUAAAGGAAUAAAACGAGGCACGUGUGCCCGUUUGCAUGUACUUUAUGAAUAAGGAUCGGCUAACUCCGUGCCAGAAGCCGCGGUAAUACGGAGGAACCGAGCGUUAACCGGGUUUAAUGGGUUUAAAGGGAGCGUAGGUGGGUUGUUAAGUCAGUUGUGAAAGUUUGGGGCUUAACCGUGAGAUUGCAAUUGAUACUGGCAGGCUCGAGUACAGGUGAGGUAUGCGGAAUGCGUGGUGUAGCGGUGAAAUGCUUAGAUAUCACGAAGAACCCCGAUUGCGAAGGCAGCUUACUAAACUCUGACUGACAUUGAUGCUCGAAAGUGUGGGUAUCGAACAGGAUUAGAUACCCCAGUAGUC